rnacentral:lncRNA from 1 species
CUUCAAGAAAUGGAGCUCAAGUCCACGAGCAAGGAACAAAUCACAUCCACAGAAUGUGGGUGGAACAGAAACUUCUUCAGGGAAGGCUGAGCCAGACUCCCUUGGCUUCUGGCUUUUUCCUUCUAGUCUUUUCCACUCUGGGCAUACAGCCUCAUGGGAAACAGUCAUGACUCUUAGAUCUACCCUCCACAUCAAAAUUGUUCUAAAAGAACCUUACAGAGCAUUUAAUCUAAUCUCAUUUUCUAGUUGAGGAAACUGAGGCAUUGAGAAAUAAGGUGAUUUGCCCAGGGUAGGUGCCCUAAUUCUACUAGCAGGGACUUGAACCAAAGUAUUCUUCCUGACUGCCAAGACCAGUCUCCUUCCAUUCAAAGGAAAUAGAUUGCCAGAGAACCUCUAGCUUCCAUAUUUCUGCAGCAACAGCGCAGCCUCCGACUUUCAUUUAGACUCUACCAAGCCAUUUAAUGUCUUAGCUUAGCUUCUUGACAGUAAUUGGGGACGAUAAUAGUUACCUACUUCAUAGGGAUAUUCAGCAGCUCAAUUAGGAAAAGCUUCUAAAGUGCUCGAGUCCCAUUAUUAGCCGUAAUGGAGUAUUUCUGUCUACUCUGGAGCCUCUGUUGGUGCAUGGUGGGGAAUGCUCAUUUCUGGGAGGAGGCAUGAGUGAGAAUUAGGACCUGCGAUUGGAGGGCUGGAGCUCAGCUGGACAAGGUGCUGCCAAACUGCCCUCAGUGGUGCUGCCUGGAAUGCUGAACGUUGCAAUCAGAAGCUCUCUUGGACCACAACCAAACACAAAGGCUUCUUCCUCAACCGAAUGUUUGCUUGUGGUCAUGAAACCACCCACCCCAGUGAACACCCUGAAGUCAUCAACCUUGCGCGCUCCCCACUGCUGCCCCCAAGCACUGCAGAUUCCCCAGUGUUCCUGUGUGAAAGGCACCACGUCUGAGGAAGGAAAUUGAUCCGUCCCGACGAGGGCAGCCAGGAAGGGGACGGACCUUGAGGUCACGCUAUCCGUGGCUUUGUGAAAAGAGCCGGGGAUGGAGAGUGUGGAGAAGAGAAGACUCGGGAAGCGCAGGGUAGCCGCCUUCUAGGAUUUGAAGAGCUAUCCACUGUUCAGUUUGGUUCCAGAGGGCAGAGAGUGGAGAGAGACAUCAGGGACUUACUUAAGGCUUGUUCAUCAAAGCUUCCUAACAGUAAGAGCUGUCCAGACGGGGAAGGAGCAGCGGGCUCUCCCCCUCUCUGGAGGGCUUUCAAGCCACGGCUGAGGGGACUCUCUUCGGGCACAGAGUCGUUGCUAGAUUCUCUCUGAUCUCUCUUGUCUCUGAAAUGCUGGGACGCUGUGAUAGCCCGCUUUUCUUACCCCGCCUCACAAAAUGAAAAGUCUUACAACAUGUCAACACUGAGCUUGUC